GAAAGACUUCAGGGUAUCUGGUUGCGUAAUCUGUGAUCACCAACAUAUACCGAUAGCCUGAACGGCUCUUUUCCAGGGGGCCGACAAUGUCCAUUCCGAGACGUUCAAAUGGCGUGCCUAUCACAGGCAGGGGCUGAAGUGGAACUUUAGAGGGGCCUUUAAUUGAAGUUUUUUGACACUGGGGGCAGCUCUUACAGAAUUUUGCAACAUCUGAAUGCAGGCCAGGCCAGUGAAAGUGACGUUUAAUACGACUAGUGGUCUUGCAUUUCCCUAGGUGGCCAGCCCAGGGAAUUGAAUGGCCCAGAUUUAGUACAACCUCUCGGGCCUCUUGAGGGACCACUAGGCGUUUAGCCUGACCGCACUGAUGAUCUCCCGGGUUCAGAUUCUAAGUCAGCAUCAAAGAAAGAUCAUAGAGCACUGGCAGGUCUUCUCCCAAAACUACAGGGAAUGGCAAGUUAUCAGCCACACCUACAUUCAGUAGAUAUGCUUGUCCUUCUACUUCAAUAAAAAUGUCAGCAGUAGGGUAAGACCUCUCUUCACCAUGCACACAACAGAUUGAGAUGGUCCCAUAAGGACAUAUACCACUUGGUACAAACUGUCUGUGAACCAAAGUCUGAUUACUGCCAGUAUCUAUCAAUGCUUUAAGUCUUCUUCCAUUGAUUAUUACUGUGGUAGUUUUCAUUAAAGAUUGCCUCUCUUGUUUUAUAUCUGGGCUUUUGCAUGGCACAAAGCACAUC